rnacentral:rRNA from 1 species
CACCGCGGUUAUACGAUAGGCUCAAAUUGAUACUUUCCGGCGUAAAGUGUGAUUAGAUUAUAAAACAAACUAAAGCCAAACACCUCUUAAGCUGUCAUACGCUUAUAGAGCAUACGAAGCCCCACAACGAAAGUGGCUUUAAAAACUAUUGAACUCACGACCAUCAAGAAA